rnacentral:rRNA from 1 species
UCGAGAAGCUUGCUUUUUUGAGGAAUCAGUGGCGAACGGGUGAGUAACACGUAGGUAACCUGCCCAGAUCACGGGGAUAACGGUUGGAAACGACAGCUAAGACCGGAUAGGUGAUGGCGAGGCAUCUUGUCAUCAUGAAAAGAGCUGAAAGGCUCUGGAGCUGGAUGGACCUGCGGCGCAUUAGCUAGUUGGUGAGGGUAACGGCCCACCAAGGCGAUGAUGCGUAGCCGGCCUGAGAGGGUGCACGGCCACAUUGGGACUGAGACACGGCCCAAACUCCUACGGGAGGCAGCAGUAGGGAAUUUUCGUCAAUGGGGGGAGCCCUGAACGAGCAAUGCCGCGUGAGUGAAGAAGGUCUUCGGAUCGUAAAGCUCUGUUGUAAGAGAAAAAGGGCGCAUAUAGGAAAUGAUAUGCGAUUGAUGGUAUCUUACCAGAAAGCCACGGCUAACUACGUGCCAGCAGCCGCGGUAAUACGUAGGUGGCGAGCGUUAUCCGGAAUGAUUGGGCGUAAAGGGUGCGUAGGUGGCACGAUAAGUCUGGAGUAAAAGGGAGCGGCUCAACCGCUGUUGGCUCUGGAAACUGUCGAGCUAGAGAGCAGGAGAGGGCGAUGGAAUUCCAUGUGUAGCGGUAAAAUGCGUAGAUAUAUGGAGGAACACCGGUGGCGAAGGCGGUCGCCUGGCCUGCAACUGACACUGAAGCACGAAAGCGUGGGGAGCAAAUAGGAUUAGAUACCCUAGUAGUCCACGCCGUANACGAUGAGGACUAAGUGUUGGGGGAACUCAGNGCUGCAGUUAACGCAAUAAGUCCUCCGCCUGGGGAGUAUGCACGCAAGUGUGAAACUCAAAGGAAUUGACGGGGGCCCGCA